rnacentral:rRNA from 1 species
ACUGCUCAGUAACACGUGGACAACCUGCCCUUAGGUUGGGUAUAAACCCGGGAAACUGGGUAUAAUACCCGAUAGGUCUCGAUUGCUGGAAUGCAUCGAGAUUUAAAGCUCCGGCGCCUAAGGAUGGGUCUGCGGCCUAUCAGGUAGUAGUGGGUGUAGCGUACCUACUAGCCUACGACGGGUACGGGUUGUGAGAGCAAGAGCCCGGAGAUGGAUUCUGAGACACGAAUCCAGGCCCUACGGGGUGCAGCAGGCGCGAAAACUUUACAAUGCUGGCAACAGCGAUAAGGGAACCUCGAGUGCCAGGUUACAAAUCUGGCUGUCGAGAUGCCUAAAAAGCAUUUCAUAGCAAGGGCCGGGCAAGACCGGUGCCAGCCGCCGCGGUAACACCGGCGGCUCGAGUGGUAACCGUUAUUAUUGGGUCUAAAGGGUCUGUAGCCGGCCGGAUAAGUCUCUUGAGAAAUCUGGCAGCUUAACUGUCAGGCUUUCAGGAGAUACUGUCUGGCUCGAGGCCGGGAGAGGUGAGAGGUACUUCAGGGGUAGGGGUGAAAUCUUGUAAUCCUUGAAGGACCACCAGUGGCGAAGGCGUCUCACCAGAACGGACCUGACGGCAAGGGACGAAAGCUAGGGGCACGAACCGGAUUAGAUACCCGGGUAGUCCUAGCCGUAAACGAUACUCGCUAGGUGUCGGCCACGGUGCGACCGUUGUCGGUGCCGUAGGGAGGCCGUGAAGCGAGCCACCUGGGAAGUACGGCCGCAAGGCUGAAACUUAAAGGAAUUGGCGGGGGAGCACCACAACGGGUGGAGCUUGCGGUUUAAUUGGAUUCAACGCCGGAAAUCUUACCGGGACCGACAGCAAUAUGAAGGCCAGGCUGAAGACUUUGCCGGAUUAGCUGAGAGGUGGUGCAUGGCCGUCGUCAGUUCGUACUGUGAAGCAUCCUGUUAAGUCAGGCAACGAGCGAGACCCCCACC